GUGCACGCUGGCGGUAGGCCUAACACAUGCCAGUCGAACGGCAGCACAGUAAGAGCUUGCUCUUACGGGUGGCGAGUGGCGGACGGGUGAGGAAUACAUCGGAAUCUACUUUUUCGUGGGGGAUAACGUAGGGAAACUUACGCUAAUACCGCAUACGACCUACGGGUGAAAGCAGGGGAUCUUCGGACCUUGCGCGAUUGAAUGAGCCGAUGUCGGAUUAGCUAGUUGGCGGGGUAAAGGCCCACCAAGGUGACGAUCCGUAGCUGGUCUGAGAGGAUGAUCAGCCACACUGGAACUGAGACACGGUCCAGACUCCUACGGGAGGCAGCAGUGGGGAAUAUUGGACAAUGGGCGCAAGCCUGAUCCAGCCAUACCGCGUGGGUGAAGAAGGCCUUCGGGUUGUAAAGCCCUUUUGUUGGGAAAGAAAAGCAGCAGGUUAAUACCCCGCUGUUCUGACGGUACCCAAAGAAUAAGCACCGGCUAACUUCGUG
rnacentral:rRNA from 1 species